rnacentral:lncRNA from 1 species
CUCUGCUCCUCGUGUCCCCCUCCCCAGCCUGGGCCGGCUGCACCACAAAGGUCAAGUGGCAUCAGCUGCUGUCUCUGGGCCAGCUGAGUCCGUCCUGGGAAGCGAAGAUCCCCACUGGGAAAUGCCUGUAACAGGUGUGGCUCAGGCAGGCUGAAUAAAUUCAUUAAAUAUUCCCCUGCAGCUGAAAUUGAGGGUCUGUGGUGAUUUGGGCGAUGCUGCCAGCCUUGGUGCACAGAGGAUUUGGGUUUGGUUCUGUUUCCUCUGUUGAGUGGAGAAAGUGAUGAGGAGAGACACGAGGGAAAGAGAGGAAGAGCAGCAAGGAAGGAGGUGAGGGAGGGAAGAAUGGCACUGUCUGGUCCUGAAAUAUUGAAUCCAGGAGAUGUAGCAGCACUGACAAAAUACUGCUUUUGUCAACACAGCUCACAUCAUCCGAGCAGCUCGGGGAGCAGCGCCAGCACAGAAACUUUUGCUGGCAUAUGCUGAGCACCUCCGAACACAGCCCUGCAGCAAGGCAAGAGGAUGGGGAAGAGCUGAGGGAAGUUUGGUGUUUCCAUCCCAUUACUGGGUGCAAAUGGGAUUUAGCAGAGAUGCCCAGGGAUUACAGAGCAGAGGGAGAACCUCGGGCACCUCCCAGUCUCCAGCAGUAGCUGAGCAUCACUGAAACCCUUUCCAGAAAUCAUACAAAUCUGUGUAUCACUGCAGGGGAUUCCAGCAGUUGGAAGAGCUGGAGGAGGUGCUGAGCGUGAGAGGUGCCGCACAUAGAACAAACCCCGUUUGAUUUUCAGAGCAGGGCACAGGGAGCAGACGAGCAGAGCUCUUUGUUUGUGAACUAAUCCUGUUGCUGGUAAUAGGAUUAGCAGCAAGAACAGAUGCAAACAAUUCCUGGUACCUCUCUCCCGGGCCCAGAGCU